rnacentral:rRNA from 1 species
UACAGAGGGUGCGAGCGUUAAUCGGAAUUACUGGGCGUAAAGCGUGCGCAGACGGUCACGUAAGUCGGGUGUGAAAGCCCCGGGCUCAACCUGGGAAUUGCAUUCGAGACUGCGUGGCUAGGGUGCGGAAGAGGGAAGCGGAAUUUCCGGUGUAGCGGUGAAAUGCGUAGAUAUCGGAAGGAACACCAGUGGCGAAAAGCGGCUUCCUGGUCCAGCACCGACGUCAGGCACGAAAGCGUGGGGAGCAAACAGG